UACGAAGGGGGCUAGCGUUGCUCGGAAUCACUGGGCGUAAAGGGCGCGUAGGCGGCCGAUUAAGUCGGGGGUGAAAGCCUGUGGCUCAACCACAGAAUUGCCUCGAUACUGGUUGGCUUGAGACCGGAAGAGGACAGCGGAACUGCGAGUGUAGAGGUGGAAUUCGUAGAUAUUCGCAAGAACACCAGUGGCGAAGGCGGCUGUCUGGUCCGGUUCUGACGCUGAGGCGCGAAAGCGUGGGGAGCAAACAGG
rnacentral:rRNA from 1 species